rnacentral:sRNA from 1 species
GGAUGCUCUGCAGAACCAGGCUGAGGCCAGCAGCAAGAUCAUCGGCCAGUUUGGAGUGGGUUUCUACUCAGCCUUCAUGGUAGCUGACAGAGUGGAGGUCUAUUCCCGCUCGGCAGCCCCGGGGAGCCCGGGUUAUCAGUGGCUUUCAGACGGCUCUGGAGUGUUUGAAAUCGCCGAAGCUUCAGGAGUUAGAAUCGGGACAAAAAUCAUCAUCCACCUGAAAUCCGACUGCAAGGAGUUUGCCAGCGAGGCCCGGGUGCGAGAUGUGGUAACGAAGUACAGCAACUUCGUCAGCUUCCCCUUGUACUUGAACGGACGGCGGAUGAACACCUUGCAGGCCGUCUGGAUGAUGGACCCCAAGGACGUCGGGGAGUGGCAACAUGAGGAGUUCUACCGCUACAUCGCGCAGGCUCACGACAAGCCCCGCUACACCCUGCACUAUAAGACGGACGCGCCGCUCAACAUCCGCAGCAUCUUCUACGUGCCCGACACGGUGUGGUGGACAGUGAGGACAUUCCCCUGAACCUCAGCCGGGAGCUGCUGCAGGAGAGCGCACUCAUCAGGAAACUCCGGGACAUUUUACAGCAGAGGCUGAUCAAAUUCUUCAUUGACCAGAGUAAAAAAGAUGCUGAGAAAUAUGCAAAGUUUUUUGAAGA